rnacentral:lncRNA from 1 species
AUUGUUUGCAGUUUAUUUUCUUAUAGUUUAAGUGAAGUUCAGAAUUUGGCAUUUUUUAGUUUUGAUGGAAAAUUUUAAAUUACAUUACUAUUUGAGAUCACCCCUCCUGAAUCACAUUCGCGCCCUGCUCCGGCACUUAUUUGUAUAGUAAUUGAUUAUCAUUUUCUUUUUUUUAAUCAUUCACAAACUAUGUAUCCGUUACGAAUUGUCACUCACUACCCUUGCGUUUUUGCAUUUAAUUAUUCUCUUAAGCCAAUAGUAAAAUGGUCCAUCAGUUGGGGAAGCAACAUGCAAGCGUCAGUUCCUAAAAACUUCCACGAUGAUGCAUGUGAUUGGGUUGGUGAGAUUUAAAAAAUAAAUAAAUUAUGUAAUAGAAUUAUUAAUUUAAGUAUUUAAUCGAAUAAAACUUCUAGCUAGGUAAUCUUGUAAAAAAGAUUUUUUAAUUUCAUUUUUCUUGGACCAUCCAGUUUCAUCGAUUUUUAGAUAAGUUACAUUUGGUGGUGGUGCAGAUGGGGCUGCUUGGAUGGUUCGCCAUUGGAUUCUCAUCAUCAUCUUAUUGUGUCUGGACUCUAGUUUAUAUUACAUUAAUCGUAAGUCAUAAUGGAGGGAUUUUUAUUUUCUCGUAUUCUUUUAACUCAUACGGUUAUCAUCAGGAGCUGCUCAACCAUGUUUUAGGUGUUAAGCGAAUUGUUUUAAUUAGCUCUUUAAAAAAA